CGGUUUGUGACUUGUGAAUUGGUUUUCUUUUGGUUGCAAAAUAUUGGAAAAUGGCUGUCACGGAGACUUUUUUCUUAUCGCAUGGAUCGCCGUUGAUGGCAAUAGACGAGAGCAUACCGGCAAGGCAUUUCUUCCAAUCCUGGCGGCACGAUACAUAUAAAGACAGGCCAAAGGCCAUUCUAAUCAUUUCCGGCCACUGGGAUACCCGUGAGCCCGCCGUUAACGUCGUUGACCUCAACGAC
rnacentral:misc_RNA from 1 species